AGUCUCACACAACAUGUAGCAGAUCCCUCCAGACAAAAGGAGAUCCACAGGUGAAGCUGGUCCAGUGAUUGCAGCAGCAGCCAAGCAGAGGAGACACACCCUGACCCCCACCUUCACACAAGCUGUGUCUCAAUUCAGGGGCUGCAUCCUCCUGAGGCUGCAUUUUGAAGGCCGAUUGCGUCACAACGCUGCGCGAAGGCUGUCCCAUUUCGAAGGCUCCUUCAAAAACACCCGGAUGCAGCCCACAAAUGCGGCCUUCUUUUCCCUGUUCUAGAAGGACACAUCGCUACUAUCCUUUGCGGCCCCAUAUAUCCCAAGAUCCUUUGCGCCGCCGCUCAUUCAUGAAAAUUAGACAUGGCGACACCGGAACGUAGCGGAGAGAGCAUGAAAUUCACAUUCAAAUGGAGCAAGGAGUAGACACAAACAUUCAUAAAGCUUCGCAAGAAGCACGACAUAUUGUUCACUGGGGCCAAGAACUCAGCCGCUGUUGGAUGGAGAACAAUCUUGGAAGAGAUGGGCCUGCAUCAGCUGGUCACUCCCAUGCAUGCCAAAAAAAAAUGGGACAACCU